rnacentral:rRNA from 1 species
AGAGUUUGAUCCUGGCUCAGGACGAACGCUGGCGGCGUGCCUAAUACAUGCAAGUCGAGCGAGCUUGCCUAGAUGAUUUUAGUGCUUGCACUAAAUGAAACUAGAUACAAGCGAGCGGCGGACGGGUGAGUAACACGUGGGUAACCUGCCCAAGAGACUGGGAUAGCACCUGGAAACAGAUGCUAAUACCGGAUAACAACACUAGACGCAUGUCUAGAGUUUGAAAGAUGGUUCUGCUAUCACUCUUGGAUGGACCUGCGGUGCAUUAGCUAGUUGGUAAGGUAACGGCUUACCAAGGCAAUGAUGCAUAGCCGAGUUGAGAGACUGAUCGGCCACAUUGGGACUGAGACACGGCCCAAACUCCUACGGGAGGCAGCAGUAGGGAAUCUUCCACAAUGGACGAAAGUCUGAUGGAGCAACGCCGCGUGAGUGAAGAAGGGUUUCGGCUCGUAAAGCUCUGUUGGUAGUGAAGAAAGAUAGAGGUAGUAACUGGCCUUUAUUUGACGGUAAUUACUUAGAAAGUCACGGCUAACUACGUGCCAGCAGCCGCGGUGAUACGUAGGUGGCAAGCGUUGUCCGGAUUUAUUGGGCGUAAAGCGAGUGCAGGCGGUUCAAUAAGUCUGAUGUGAAAGCCUUCGGCUCAACCGGAGAAUUGCAUCAGAAACUGUUGAACUUGAGUGCAGAAGAGGAGAGUGGAACUCCAUGUGUAGCGGUGGAAUGCGUAGAUAUAUGGAAGAACACCAGUGGCGAAGGCGGCUCUCUGGUCUGCAACUGACGCUGAGGCUCGAAAGCAUGGGUAGCGAACAGAAGUAGAUACCCUGGUAGUCCAUGCCGUAAACGAUGAG